UUGUCACGUGGAGAAGUCUCUAUAGAGAAUUCUAUAGAGAGGUGUUGGUCGCCUAGAGGCACAUGCGCGCUUUUCUAUUGUUUUUCACCCACGUGAGAAUUUGAGAGAUAUGUGAGAUGUUGUUUCACAUGUUCUCAGAUGGUGUUGUUGGAAUUUAAAGGUUUGGGGGGGCAUAGCCGUUUUAUUUAUUUACACACCCCAAAUGUAUGUCUACGAAUGUCAUUUAAUGGGCCUUGUGCCUAUAAACCAUAAUACAACUUUCAACAACGGAUCUCUUGGCUCUCGCAUCGAUGAAGAACGCAGCGAAAUGCGAUAAGUAAUGUGAAUUGCAGAAUUCAGUGAAUCAUCGAAUCUUUGAACGCACCUUGCGCCCCUUGGUAUUCCGAGGGGCAUGCCUGUUUGAGUGUCAUUAAAUUCUCAAACUCACUUUGGUUUUUUUCCAAUUGUGAUGUUUGGAUUGUUGGGGGCUGCUGGCCUUGACAGGUCGGCUCCUCUUAAAUGCAUUAGCAGGACUUCUCAUUGCCUCUGCGCAUGAUGUGAUAAUUAUCACUCAUCAAUAGCACGCAUGAAUAGAGUCCAGCUCUCUAAUCGUCCGCAAGGACAAUUGACAAUUGACCUCAAAUCAGUUGGUUUCC
rnacentral:rRNA from 1 species